GCUAGCGGCGCGCUUAAUGCAUGCAAGUCGAGCGAUGAGGCCCCUUCGGGGGUACAUCAGCGGCAGACGGGUGAGUAACACGUGGAUGACCUGCCCCGAAGACGAGGAUAACGGAUGGAAACAUCUGCUAAUACUCGAUGGUCUUGUGCAGUCGAAUGCACAAGUAAAGCUCCGGUGCUUCGGGAGGGGUCUGCGGCCUAUCAGCUAGUUGGUAGGGUAACGGCCUACCAAGGCGAAGACGGGUAGGGGGUGUGAGAGCACGGCCCCCCACAAUGGGACUGAGACACGGCCCAUACUCCUACGGGAGGCAGCAGCAGGGAAUAUUGCACAAUGGACGGAAGUCUGAUGCAGCGACGCCGCGUGGAUGAUGAAGGCCUUCGGGUUGUAAAAUCCUUUUCAUAGGGACGAGUAAGGACGGUACCUUUGGAAUAAGCGUCGGCUAACUACGUGCCAGCAGCCGCGGUAAGACGUAGGACGCGAGCGUUAUCCGGAUUUACUGGGCGUAAAGCGUCUGUAGGCGGAGUGGAAAGUUGGGCUUGAAAGCUCCGGGCUCAACCCGGAGAGGACGUUCAAUACUACCAAACUAGAGGGCAUCAGAGGAGCGUGGAAUUUCCGGUGUAGCGGUAAAAUGCGCAGAUAUCGGAAGGAACACCAGUGGCGAAGGCGGCGCUCUGGGAUGCUUCUGACGCUAAGAGACGAAAGCUAGGGGAGCGAACAGGAUUAGAGACCCUGGUAGUCCUAGCCGUAAACGAUGGAUGCUAGGUGUAUGGUCGAGAGACCGUGUGCCGGAGCAAACGCGAUAAGCAUCCCGCCUGGGGACUACGGCCGCAAGGCUAAAACUCAAACGAAAUUGA
rnacentral:rRNA from 1 species